rnacentral:rRNA from 1 species
GUGCACCAGUCGAGAAUUUUUCACAAUGGGGGAAACCCUGAUGGAGCGACGCCGCGUGGAGGAUGAAGGCGUUUUCGUCGUAAACUCCUGUCAAACGGGAACAAGAAAGUGAUAGUACCGUUAGAGGAAGAGGCGGCUAACUCUGUGCCAGCAGCCGCGGUAAUACAGAGGCCUCAAGCGUUGUUCGGAUUCAUUGGGCGUAAAGGGUGCGUAGGUGGCUUGGUAAGUUGAAGGUGAAAUCUCGGGGCUUAACUCCGAAACUGCCUUCAAUACUGCCGAGCUCGAGGAUUGUAGAGGAGAAUGGAAUUCACGGUGUAGCAGUGAAAUGCGUAGAUAUCGUGAGGAAGACCAGUGGCGAAGGCGAUUCUCUGGGCAAUUCCUGACACUGAGGCACGAAGGCUAGGGGAGCAAACGGGAUUAGAUACCCGCGU